UUAUCAUCACAAAAGGAUCAAAGGGAC
rnacentral:piRNA from 1 species